GUUAAUGAAGUUCUCCUUUAAAAAAAAAAACAUCUAUUUAAUGUCUCUGUCUCUUGUAGUUUUUCAUCAAACAAAUCAAAGAAGCAAUAGUAGUAAACAUCAGCCUGUGUAAUCCCAUUGAAAUCAAUGAUGACACAUAUAAAGGUCUCUAUUCAGUCCUGUUUUUUGUUGAUUUCAAGUGUUCAUAUUUCUUUUAGUCAGACAUGCUUUCUCUUAUAAAAAUAAUGCUUGGAGAUGUUCAGGAUCUAUCAUUGAGAAGUAUAAUCUCUCAGCCUUAAUAUAUGUAUUUAGAGUUUUGAUCGGAUAAUUAGUGAGUGUGUUUUCUUAAGAUCUAAUGUUUAAAUCACAUGAACUAAACUAUUGAUAUUCAUAUGAUUAUUAUUUGUUUUUAGAUUUGGGCAGACUACUCUUGAUUGCCGAUGAGAGCUUGUCAAAUUCUUUUAGAAGGCCUCAGAAACCGUUGUUGAUUUGCUCCAGAUGCCUUAGUUGAACGUUUUUAUUUGUUUAUUUGUCUUUACCUCCGAUUGUAUUUGUCAAACAGUAUGAAUCCUCUACCGUUUUCGGCGGCGGAAUGGGUACGAACCCAGGCGGCACUAACUGCAGGGAAUAGUCCGAUGAUGAUGACGGGUUCAUUCGAAGGCUAAACGACUUAAUAAGACCUUGAACCAGCAAUUAUCGUACCAUAAUCCACAACCUCAAGGUCAUUUAUUGCUCUUAUUUGGCACAACAUACUAAUUGUCUUUAAAGGUCGUAUAUCACAACCAUCCUCACAAACAAGAUCAGCCGUCGUCGUGAAAUUGUUCGAAGCUAGCAGCCAAAUGGUUGUGCAAGAAGGGUAUACAGAUCCACACAUUAUUUAUACCUGACCCACUUCAGACAAUAUGGCACACCUCAACAUCCCAAGGCAACCAGGCUUAGUACAGUUUGUUGUAAAACAUGACAUCGCAACCAAAGGUUGAUUGGAUGUACUAUUGAUGUUUGGGGCAUACAACACAGCAAGAGGCAUGGCAAUAUCAACGCUGCUUAUUAGGUUCUUCUUGGUGGAUUGAGGCAUGGCAAUAUCAUGGCUGGUUUACCUGUCUUUUGCAACAAUUAGUUGGUCAUGUGUAGAUGUGAUCACACGGGUCCGUUUGAGUUUGAAACCAAACAGCCGAUGAGUUUGGAUGUGUUCUUGACGUACGUUAGGCUGUGGUCUGCAUACCAAACAGCAAAAGACAAGGGCGUGGAGUUGUUGAGCGAUGGUGUGAUCGAGGAAUUCAGAAAGGCUUGGAAGGAAGACGCGAAUGUAGAAAAGAGCGUUACGUAUCCGGUUUAUCUACGGAUCAGGAAAGCUGGAGACGCGUUAAACAGGCCAUAUAAUUUGCAUGUUAAAUCUGUGAUAUGAACAAUGAUUAGUGAAGUAUCUCAUAGGUGGUAUGAUGUAUUUUCGUAAGGGGUGAUUGCCUUUUGUACUUGCCAUCUUCUGUUCAUAUAAUUAAUGAUGAAAUAAAACGGAAUUUGAGUCCAUAAA